rnacentral:rRNA from 1 species
CGGGUGAGUAACGCGUGAGGAACCUGCCUCAAAGAGGGGGACAACAGUUGGAAACGACUGCUAAUACCGCAUAAGCCCACAGGUCGGCAUCGACCAGAGGGAAAAGGAGCAAUCCGCUUUGAGAUGGCCUCGCGUCCGAUUAGCUAGUUGGUGAGGUAAUGGCCCACCAAGGCAACGAUCGGUAGCCGGACUGAGAGGUUGAACGGCCACAUUAGGACUGAGACACGGCCCAG